rnacentral:rRNA from 1 species
CGGGGGGGGGUAAGCGUUGUUCGGAAUUACUGGGCGUGAAGGGCUCGUAGGCGGCCAACUAAGUCAUACGUGAAAUCCCUCAGCUUAACUGGGGAACUGCGUGUGAUACUGGAUGGCUUGGAUUUGGGAGAGGGAUGCGGAAUUCCAGGUGUAGCGGUGAAAUGCGUAGAUAUCUGGAGGAACACCGGUGGCGAAGGCGGCAUCCUGGACCAAUAUUGACGCUGAGGAGCGAAAGCCAGGGGAGCAAACGGGAUUAGAUACCCCGGUAGUCCUGGCCCUAAACGAUGAAUGCUUGGUGUAGCGGGUAUCGAUCCCUGCUGUGCCGAAGCUAACGCAUUAAGCAUUCCGCCUGGGGAGUACGGUCGCAAGGCUG